rnacentral:rRNA from 1 species
ACGGGUGAGUAACACGUAAGGAACCUGCCUCAAGGAUUGGGAUAACUCCGAGAAAUCGGAGCUAAUACCGGAUAGUUCAACGGACCGCAUGGUCCGCUGAUGAAAGGCGCUCCGGCGUCACCUUGAGAUGGCCUUGCGGUGCAUUAGCUAGUUGGUGGGGUAACGGCCCACCAAGGCGACGAUGCAUAGCCGACCUGAGAGGGUGAUCGGCCACACUGGGACUGAGACACGGCCCAGACUCCUACGGGAGGCAGCAGUAGGGAAUCUUCCACAAUGGACGAAAGUCUGAUGGAGCAACGCCGCGUGAGUGAUGAAGGUUUUCGGAUCGUAAAACUCUGUUGUAAGGGAAGAACACGUACGAGAGGAAAUGCUCGUACCUUGACGGUACCUUACGAGAAAGCCACGGCUAACUACGUGCCAGCAGCCGCGGUAAUACGUAGGUGGCAAGCGUUGUCCGGAAUUAUUGGGCGUAAAGCGCGCGCAGGCGGCCUUUUAAGUCUGAUGUGAAAGCCCCCGGCUCAACCGGGGAGGGCCAUUGGAAACUGGAAGGCUUGAGUACAGAAGAGA